rnacentral:snRNA from 1 species
GGGCUCACUUGGCAGCACAUAUGCUAAAGUUGGAACAAUACAGAGAUUAGCAUGGCCCUUGCCCAAGGAUGACACGCAAAUUCAUGAAGUGUUCCAUUAAAAA